GGCCUCGUAACUCACUAAACUGGUUGAGCGUGCGCUGUACAAAAGCGUAGGGUGGCGUCCAUGCGUGGGUUCGAAUCCCACCGAGGCUA
rnacentral:tRNA from 1 species